CUUGUGAUUCAAGUGGCUAAAGCUCCACAGGUACUUGAGCUCUACAUAAAUGCUGAGUGCUACAGAGCCAAAAGAACUCUGAGGUCCGUCUCACCCAGGACCCACUGUCUGUCAGGGGGCUCUCUGGAACCUGAUUCUAUACAACAUAUCCUCUUUUAUUUUUGCCUGUGAGGCCGUGACAGCCAGGGAGUGUGCUGUGCGUGGCAGUGAAGACAGAGGGUUCUCCAUCCCCUCACCAUUCUUCUCACAAGUAUGCGUUGAGAUGGCGUGCUGGGUUUAUCACAGGCUGAGGAAGAAAACUGGAGUCUCUGCUUCCUGUCAUCCCAGCAGCCUGUUUUAGCUCGUGGGGCUCUUGAGAAGACAAAUCCUCUGUGCCUGUUGGAGCCUGAGCAGUCCCACGGAGUGGCUCUGUCACCUCAGGUGUGAAGCUGGAAUACACACCUGGAAACACAUUUUAAUUCUCAAAAUCCAGCUUAUCAGACAAAAACUUCCUAAAACCUGCUACAAAAUGAUGUCAUCAAUCAACUGAUUUACCUCUGGCUGGGCUUUGAGUAAGGAAAGCCUAUUGAAAGCCUACUUUCCACCAGGAAAGGUGGCACUUCAAUGAUGAAGGCCCUGUGCAUACAUCCAGGCUGAAUUCCCAUCCCAGCUCUAUCCAGCAGAUGCUCACAGAGCUUGUGGUCAUGAUGAGAUGGGAUACUGGAAUCCAGCACAAUUCCCAGAUCUCUCUUUGUGUCUCACAUUUGUAAAACAAAUAUAUGUGUUGGUCCCAUGCCCACAUUUGGGUCUGUGGCAGAUCUCCAUCCAAAAUAAAUUAAUUACAGGCGAAGGGAAAAGAGCACGUUCCCAAGUGCCUCUGAU